AUAUCUCUCUGUACGGGAAGGAUGAGAAGCUUCGACUAAGGUUCGAUUCGAGCGCAGCGAGAAAGCGUUGCCGCAGGCAACGACCCGAAGGGCGAAGCGCGCAGCGCUGGGUCAUCCUUCCCCCACCACCA
rnacentral:sRNA from 1 species